UCGAGCAGUUUCGGAAGUGUCUUGUCGGUGGGCGCCACUCGUCCGUAAUUACGCCUCAGAAAUGUUGAAGAACUUUCAAGUGCUUGUCAGAGAAAUAAAUUAUUUAAAAAAAGCUCACAUUUUUAAUAAUGGAUUUGCACGAGAAAGACUCGUUAACUUCGUCGGCUGAUGGAGGCUCUUUGUCUCCUUCCGAAGGAGAUUUGUUCGAAGGUCCUUCGACAUCUGAAGAUUCAUUCUUGUCCAAACUUCUUCCACUUGAAUCUGUUAUUUGGUAUUGCAAUAAAGACAAAGACACUACAGCUGGAACUAAAACCAAACUCUACUUAGAUGUUCUAAAUAGAGCAACCUCAUCUAAUGAACCAGAAGAGUUUUAUAAGUUAAUGUUGCUAGCUGAAAAACUACACACAGAAAUAGGUUGUGAUAACUCAGUAAAGAUAUGGAAAAGAGUUAAACCCAUCUUAACCAUGUGCUCCCGAAUUGGUUUAAAUGAAAUAGCUCGUGAAAUCGCUCUUUACCUUUACAGCGAUCCGGAGAGUGUUUCUGCAUUUAUACAUGGUUUUAAUAGACUUCGCAUAUCAGAUCCAUUUCUGAAGCAGUUGAUACGUAAGAAGAGAGAUUCAUUGAUCUAACUGCCAACGUUGAAAUUUUAAUAGCUGGAGAGAGAGCUCAACGAGAUAAAACACUGAAAUUUGUCGAAUCAAGUAUUCCAUGUUUCAUCCAAUUUCUUGAAACUUCAAGAAACGAUUAAGACGACCGUAAUUAAGUUUUCUAAAUUAGAUUUUUGAAAAAUCUCAUGGUCCUUCAAUACUCAAUGUGCCUAUAACCCCAAAAUCAAUUGGAGGAGAGAAAGAAUGAAAAAAGACUGAUAACAAAUUAUGAUUGGGAGAUAUACUGAACUAUAUAUUAUAAAAGUUAAAUGAAAAAAUAGUUACUGCCACUCCUCCAUCUUCAAACAAACUCUUACUGGAUUACAUCCUAUGCACUGCUCAAAUACAAUCUGUAAUUCUCAACUGGGAUCAAACAACCUUAGAUAAGCUUCAAAAAUUGAAUAUAAAAACAUUUUGCUCUCAAAUCAGGAUCAGCAAGAGAUUUGUUGAAGAAAAUGUAUAUGAAAAUGGAGAAAUCAUCAAACUACAGGAUUUAUCUCAGAAAAAAAGUUCAGAAGCUUCUCGAAACCAAAUAGACUUGUUAUUGUAUUUAAUAUAUUUUUAUAUUAUAUUUUUUUCAAUAAAAAGAAUAUAUUUUUCUUAAAAUAACAAAAAAAUAAAACUUCUCUCACAAGCCAGAUAACCGAUCUGCAGUCAUGUAAGCAAAUCCAUUUGAGUUUAAUAUAUUGUAAACACAUUUUUAGAUGUUAUAUACACACGCGUGUAUGUGUAUGUGCAAAAUAUGAGUAAUAAUAUUUAGGAAAAUAUUGGAGCAAAAUCCAAUUUUUAGCUUAGGAACAACA
rnacentral:misc_RNA from 1 species